rnacentral:ncRNA from 1 species
CAAAGGUUUGGUCCUGGCCUUAUUAUUAAUUGUCAGUAAGAUUAUACAUGCAAGUAUCCGCCAACCAGUGAAAAUGCCCUCAUACUCGUCCACCUUGAACGAUCCCAAAGGAGCCGAUAUCAAGCACACCAACGGUAGCUCAAGACAUCUUGCUCAGCCACACCCCCACGGGAUACAGCAGUAGCAAAAAUUAAGCAAUAAACGAAAGUUUGACUAAGUUAUGCUGAUUAGGGUUGGUCAAUCUCGUGCCAGCCACCGCGGUCAUACGAUUGACCCAAAUUAAUAAUUAAACGGCGUAAAGUGUGGUUAAACACUCACCAAUAUUAAUAAAGUUAAACUAGCUCUCAGCUGUAAAAAGCUAAAGAUCUACGGUAAAUAGACUAUUAAUGUAACUUUACUUAUAGUGAACCCACGAUAGCUAAGAUACAAACUGGGAUUAGAUACCCCACUAUGCUUAGCCGUAAACUUUGAUAAUUAAUAACAAAAAUAUCCGCCAGAGAACUACAAGCCACUGCUUAAAACUCAAAGGACUUGGCGGUGCUUUAUACCCCCUAGAGGAGCCUGUUGCGUAAUCGAUAAACCCCGAUAAACCCCACCAUCACUUGCUAAAUCAGUCUAUAUACCGCCAUCUUCAGCAAACCCUUAUAAGGAAUAAUAGUAAGCUUAAACGCACCCACAAAAACGUUAGGUCAAGGUGUAACCCAUGUGAUGGGAAACAAUGGGCUACAUUUUCUACAUAAGAACACACGGACUCACAUAUGAAACUAUUAGAUAAAGGAGGAUUUAGAAGUAAGCCAGGAAUAGAGAGCCUGACUGAACUUGGCUAUGAAGCACGCACACACCGCCCGUCACCCUCCUCAAGUGUUUAAGACUAAUAAUCCUAUUACACUAACAUAAACAUAAGAGGAGACAAGUCGUAACAAGGUAAGCAUACUGGAAAGUGUGCUUGGAAUAUU